rnacentral:rRNA from 1 species
AUUGAACGCUGGCGGCAUGCCUUACACAUGCAAGUCGAACGGUAACAGGUCUUCGGAUGCUGACGAGUGGCGAACGGGUGAGUAAUACAUCGGAACGUGCCUAGUAGUGGGGGAUAACUACUCGAAAGAGUGGCUAAUACCGCAUGUGAUCUACGGAUGAAAGCAGGGGAUCGCAAGACCUUGUGCUACUAGAGCGGCCGAUGGCAGAUUAGGUAGUUGGUGGGAUAAAAGCUUACCAAGCCGACGAUCUGUAGCUGGUCUGAGAGGACGAUCAGCCACACUGGGACUGAGACACGGCCCAGACUCCUACGGGAGGCAGCAGUGGGGAAUUUUGGACAAUGGGCGCAAGCCUGAUCCAGCAAUGCCGCGUGCAGGAUGAAGGCCUUCGGGUUGUAAACUGCUUUUGUACGGAACGAAAAGCCCCGGGUUAAUACCCUGGGGUCAUGACGGUACCGUAAGAAUAAGCACCGGCUAACUACGUGCCAGCCGCCGCCGUAA